rnacentral:sRNA from 1 species
GACAAGCUGCAUCGCGCGCGCCGCCUGCUUCGUUCUAUCCUUGCAAUGGGCAUUUCUCAAUCCACCUCACACCUGAACUACUGCAUGCUCGAUAAUAUUUUUCCUUCUCGGCAAGCUGCCACAGGAUGCGCUCGCUCUAAUUAUAUCCCUCCUCCUCCUCCUCCUCCAUCUGCAAUAUUGCACUGCUUGCCGCCGUAGCUGCUACAGCGUACAACCAUUUUAACUCCAAACUAACCGCCCCUAACGAGUUCCCUCCCCUGCAACAACCCCUGGAAGUUUGGAACUGGGGAAGGCAAAACGCGCGACUUGACUCUUUAGAGUUGAACUACUCGUACUAGUCAA